rnacentral:snoRNA from 1 species
AGACCAUGAUGAGGACAAGACCUAAGUAAGUCCUUAUAUCUCUCCCAGGCUUUGUUUAAUGACUCACCAUCAAACUGUGUGAAUGAAGUAAUAUUGUUCCUCAUCUU